rnacentral:tRNA from 1 species
AUUGAUUAAAAAGAAAAUUUCUUAUAUAUAGAUUUACAAUCUAU